rnacentral:rRNA from 1 species
CCUACGGGUGGCAGCAGUAGGGAAUUUUCGUCAAUGGGCGCAAGCCUGAACGAGCAAUGCCGCGUGAACGAGGAAGGUCUUCGGAUCGUAAAGUUCUGUUGAAGGGGAGAAAGAGCGGAGAGAGGAAAUGGUCUCCGAUUGAUAUUACCCUUCGAGGAAGUCACGGCUAACUACGUGCCAGCAGCCGCGGUAAUACGUAGGUGGCGAGCGUUUUCCGGAAUGAUUGGGAGUAAAGGGUGCGUAGGCGGCCUGCUAAGUCUGGAGUGAAAGGUACCGGCUCAACCGGUACAGGUUCUGGAAACUGGCGGGCUAGAGAGCAGGAGAGGGCGGUGGAACUUCAUGUGUAGCAGUAAAAUGCGUAGAUAUAUGGAAGAACACCAGUGGCGAAGGCGGCCGCCUGGCCUGUUACUGACGCUGAGGCACGAAAGCGUGGGGAGCAAAUAGGAUUAGAUACCCGAGUAGUC